rnacentral:lncRNA from 1 species
CGAACGUUCAGCAAGCGAACUGAACUGAAAUGAACUGAACUGUUUUGUUUUGUGUGAUUAUUUACUAUCGUUUAAAUUCUAUUAUCGUUUCAUUGUUCAUUCUUUUAAUCAUUUAUUAGAGCGUAUUUGAUCGUGUUAUUAGCCGCCUAUCAUGUUUAAAGCCUGUUGCUUACAUAAUCUCUGUAGUAUCACAUAUCGGAGUGUCGGAGUAAGUUGUCGGGGUAUAACCAUCUAGAGUUUUCUAUCGGAGUUAUUGGAGUUUUCGGAGUAACUGGAGUCACUUUCCCACGGAGUUUCUUUUACCCUUUUUACGCAGGAUCAAACUUUUCACCGCAUUGUAACACGUUGUACUCAAUAAAAACUGGAAUGAGA